ensembl:lncRNA
UGAAAAUAAAAAUGCUGAUGUGGUUUUUAUUCCCAAAACAUAUCUUACUGAUUAAGAGCAUGGAGAGCUACCGGCUCGUGGGUGGGCCAGCUGGAGUUGGCCUCCCCGCUCUGGCUCUCGAGGCCGGGCCAGGCUCCCGCCCACAGGAUGUCAGAGGCAGGCGCGGUGCGGCCACUCCACAGUGCACAUCUCUGCUGACCGGUAUGGCUGCGUGUUUGUGCAGCGUGCACACACAGGACUUUGAGACGGAUCCAUCAAGACGAGGCAGGUUCCGUCACUCAGCUUGACAGAAGACAGAAAGGCAGCAAGUCACCGGGGAAAGAGUGUGAACCUGGAGUCAGCUAGGGCUGGGUUUAACCCAGUGCUGCCACUUCUUAGCUGAGUAACCCCAGGCGCAGGGCCCUGAGCUGGAGGGGACAAGCUGAGACCCAGGGGAAGGGCAAGUGCUGGGAAGCACAGAGACUGCCUGGGACACAGGGUGCCACAAGCAGUCAGAGCCACCACAGCCCUCCACCUUUCGCCAAGGGCUGGGCCCCGCAGAACACAUGGUUGAAAAGGUGUGAGGGGGCCAGCCAGGUGGCGUGGUGGGUAAGUUCGCACGUUCCACUUCGGGGGCCCGGGGUUCGCCGGUUUGGAUCCCGGGUGCGUACCUACACACUGCUUGUCAGGCCAUGCUAUGGCAAGUGUCCCAUAUAUACAGUAGAGGAAGAUGGGUAUGGAUGUUAGCUCAGGGCCAGUCUUCCUCAGCAAAAAGAGAAGGAUUGGUGGUAGAUAUUAGCUCAGGGCGAAUCUUCCUCAAAAAAAAGAGCUUGAGAACUGCACUCUCCAAAGGAAUCACCACAACUGCUGCCUCCAGCCCACUUGCUCUGUGGCUACACUGCCAUGUGGCGGGCAGGAGGGGCGGGUCCUAAGGGCGGGAUGUGGGAGGAUGAGAACACCCCCGUUCUCAGGUGCCCAGAAUGCAGCUUCUCUCCUCCUCCCGCCUUUCCUCUUGUGAACCGUCAGGCAGUGCUGGGGUGAAUCCCGACCCCAGCAGCAGUGGUCACUGGGCGCCCAUAUGUCCCAGGCCCUGUGCAGACAGACCAGGUCCCUGUUGCCCCGGAGCCGGAGCCGGGGUUUGGGGGCGGGGCAGCUCUAAAGACCAAUGCAAAUAAGUCCCAAGAUUACAGAUUGUGAUAGGGUCAAGAAGGAAACAAGCUGUUGGGUGGCAGGGAGGCCAAAGACCCCGUUGGCAAUGUCAGGGAGCACCUGCGACCCCGCAGCAGAGUGGAGGGAUCAGAGCCCCGCUCCAGCACCGGGUCCUCCCUGAUUGGAACCUCGGCCCCUUCCUUCCUAGCUGUGUGGCCUUGGGCAAAUUGCUUGACCUCUCCGGGUUCGGUUUCCCUUUCUAUAACGUGGAGAUGGUAGUUGUAACUCCUCUAGAGGGCCGACUCAAGGUUCAGCAAGGUAAGGUACACGGAGCCGCUCAGAGCAGCUCUGGGCCCGCGACUGCUUUGAAUUCAGGGGUAGAGGCCUAGAAUGUAGAAAAAUAGGAGCUUUCAGAGUGGAAUCCCAUCCAGGCAAGCUGGCCCGCUCUCAGGGAUUCCAGACAGCCGGCUUCCCAGCUUCGGGGAGACUGUGUGGCCGAGAGGUGAUCCUGCACUGCCCUCUGGGGGAUGGCCUCACAGGAGUGAGGAGGACACAGCCUGCGGGGCCUGCCGGGCGUGGGAGCCCCCGGGGACCCUGGCCCUCCCUGCGCCCUCGGGCUUGCACAUCCCUGGGGUCUGGCUGCCCCUCCUUCCCACCCGCGGCAGCCUGAGGCUGCCCACGCACUCCUGCUAUGGCAGCAACAGUUGGAGCUGGUCCCCUCCACAGAGCUGGUCCUGGCAGCCCUGGCCCUCGGUUCCUUGGCAUCCCCUCCUCUGGCGAUGCUGAGGGCACCGGGAGCUAACAUCCGCCCAGUGCUCGUUUCGCCAGACACCGUUCUGAGGACUUUACUGACUCGCGUUGAACCCUCAGCAAUACUCUGAGAUUGGUGCUACCUUUAUGUCCAUUUCACAGAUGAGGAAACUGAGGCACAGAGAGUGACUCCACUGGCCCUCAGCCUUUCCCUUCCACGACCUCAGCCUGGAACUUGUCAUUGCCAACAACUGCAUCCUGUUUCAAGUGCCCCUAAGAAGCCCACUGCCUCCCUUCUCUUCCCCCCAGUCCUCUCGCUCACCCAGAACCUUCUGCAGCCUCACUUCUGUCCAUACGAGGGUAGCGUUCUUCGUUUUCAUCACGCUCCCCACACACGCUCAGCCCCCUGGCCCCUCGCCCACGUGGAAUUCUUGUCUGACACGAUCCAACCCUGGGCACGUCCAACCUCUUGCCCAUCCCAUGGCUGCAGCCUCCCUUGAGGAAGUGCUCGUCGCGCAGCCGGGUGCCACAGGCGUGGCCAUGGCUCCCUGACACCCUUAGCACCUCUGCCCGUGGGCCGCUCCCCCUGCUGUCCGCAAGCCUCUCACCCCAGCCUCCACCCUGUGCACCACCCUCUCUCAGUUCCGGCGGGGUCUUCCUUCCUGGCUCUGGAAACAGCAGCAACCAGAAGACACCUGUCCAGGCUGGGCCACCACAUCCACCCGUCCCCGGCUGUCCUAGCUGCGUUCCCCCCACCCCACCACAGCCUGUGCCCCCUUCCCACGGCAUCCCGCACGCUGUGAUUUCUCCCAUCUCAGAAAUCCCUCUAUUGACGCCACCUUACCUCCAGCUGCCAUCAGUCCUCUGCUCUUUCUGAAGGCAAAGCCCCUCCCAAGUCAUCCACUUGCCGUCUCCAAUUGUUCCCCUUCCCUGUCAGCCUCCCCGACAGUUCUCACCCACCCGGCUCCACAGUGUCCACCUCAAGGCCACUGAAGAUUUUCACAUCCCUCAGUCGGGGGGUCAGUGCUCAGACCCCCGAGGACGUGGCUCUUGGCGUCCUGGCUCCGACAGACUCCCC